CCUACGGGAUGCAGCAGUGGGGAAUAUUGCGCAAUGGGCGAACGCCUGACGCAGCGACUCCGCGUGAGGGAUGAAGGCUCUCGGGUUGUCAACCUCUUUGACAGGGGAAGAGCAGUAGCCGUUACCUUGAAAACAAUUCACGGCUAACUACGUGCCAGCAGCCGCGGUAAUACGUAGGUGGAAGGCGUUGUCCGGAUUUACUGGGUGGAAAGGGUGUGUAGUCGGGAGGGCAAGUCAGAUGCGAAAUUCGGAGGCUCAACCUCCGAAUUGCAUUUGAAACUGUUUGUCUUGAGUACGGGAGAGGCAGGCGGAAUUCCGUGUGUAGCGGUGAAAUGCGUAGAUAUAAGGAGGAACACCGGUGGCGAAGGCAGUCUACUGGACAGCAACUGACGGUGAGGCGCGAAAGCGUGGGGAGCAAACAGGAUUAGAUACCCGUGUAGUC
rnacentral:rRNA from 1 species